CUUAUCUUUUGCGAGCUUGCGGCCCGGUCCCAUUACAGUUACAUGUCCCGUAAUCCGCGGGCAGAGUUUUACCAAGGGCAUCAGAGCCAGCCCCGACAAACAAGGCGAAACGCGCACUGCAAUAUGUGAAUGUGAACAACGAGUACGAAAACACACAGAACGGUUGGUAUAAAGGUGAUGCAAGGGCCACAAGUGGCGGCAGUCCAAGGCAAGGCAUGAAAUCCACAUGGUAACGUGGGGCGGAGGCAGAGUCGGGGUGAAUAAGCACCCUUUAGAAACGAUUAAGGCCACCCCUCUAGGGUCAAUCAAUAUUUGAUUGUCAUGCGUUAAGGUGCCCUGUCAUCAGCAAAAUGCACUCGAAGUCCACAUUAUCAGCUGUGUGUAUGCAUCGCCAAUAUACUGCAUGUACUAGAUGCAGUAUACAUGCAAACUACUGCAUGUUUUCUCUGUCAGCCCAUGCGACUCAUUUUAAGGUAUUGGUGGGAAAACUUUCCAUUUAAAUAUAUACAUACAAGGUAUUGCUUUAGUUUUACGUUCGUUCCCCUCGUGCUACUUAUGCAAACCAGCCGUUCUAUACAUACAUAUGUAUAUGUAUUCCUCCACUGCUUCUCACAACAAUUACAGCGUGUCGCUUUUGAGAGCUCGCCAGAAUAGAAUGAAAAUAAAUUAGACAUUUAGUAAUGGGUAUUUUGUUUACAACUUUGUGCUUUUUACUUGAAAUGUUUAUAUGAAUUGCAUUGGAAUUCUUGAUUCUUCAAUGUGCUUGUACUAGAGAUACAUAAAUACAUAUAGAAUGUUGUACAAUGCAAUGCUGGCAAACAGUGAAGAUCGACAAGUCUGAAGUGUCUUGUGUACGAUAUUGUAUAUAUUUUCAAUAAAAUUGUUUUCAACAGGUUCUACUCAACAACAAACACUACACUACAAACAAUAUUCAUUUAUGCAUAACUUAUGCAUGUAUGUGAGGAUAUGCAAGUGGUUAAUCAAUAUAAUAUUUGUCUAAUUUUCUGAUACUCAUUUCAUCGAACUUUCAUUUUCGCAGGGGUAUUGAGGAAUUCCUGGCAGGCAAAUCAACAAAUAAACAACUCAAAAGAUUGCACAAAACACUUGCAUGGAACUUGCAAUUACAAAUAAUACUGGACCGAACAUCAUGGAGAUGUUCAAAACCAAUUGUUUCUCUCUUCGUUUAUAUGUACAGAUGUGCAUAUGAACGUUUUGCAUAAACGUAAUUUUAAAAUUAAUUUAUUAAUUAGUUUAAAGCAAGGAUAAAGUUUACAUUAUUUGUAAAAAUAUUAAUGGCAGAAUAUUUUCAAAAUCUCGGGCUCUCUUCAUUAGUUCACGCUCAGGUUCACUUUUUCAGUUUUUGUUUCUGUUCUGUUUCCCUCCUACACUUCUUAAAUGCUAACCACACGCUACUCGUGCUCUCUGCUUUUUGUC